rnacentral:lncRNA from 1 species
UUCUCAUAUGCCUACAUUUGUCGUCUGGUUCCUCAGGUUCUCCUCACUAUCUUUUAAAGAGAUUGCAUAGAGAUACCUAACCAAACUUAGGUGUCAUAAACUAUAGUGUUGCUUCUUGCAGGUAGUAGAGGUGAGAUGUUUACCCAAAGCCAUACUUGGAUGGAAUUGUCAGCAAACUGCUUGUACUUCUUCAGGUAUGUUAAUGUUAUUAUGGUCAUUUUACUGAAUUAUAUAAUUGAUUUUUUCUUUAAUUUUGGAUUUUCUCUACAAACGUUUUAGAACGGUAAGCAGAUGGUGCAAGAAGGUGCCUUAACGGUAAUACUAUCUCGCGCACUAGAAGCAGGAAGCGCAUCGCACCUCCAAGCAGUGACGUUUUCGCCCAAGUUUGAAGCCUUUCCCCAUUCUGCUGCGACCGUAAUGGGUUAUUUGGAAUCUGGGAUCCGAUUGAUUUUGGAGAAAUUUAGGAAAGGUGGUGGUGAGGUCAUGGAAUUUAUAUUGUAAAUGUUGUUGAAACUCAAAUUUGAGCUGUAAAACUAAAUCUCUGUUUGUGGUUUUCUGAGGCUUAUUCUUGCUUUUCUUUGUUGGCAAUGUUUGUCCCAAUGAGCUGUUUAAGAUCCCUAAGUAUGGUAGGUCGUGAUUGAACAUCUUCAUGAUUUAUCAUACUUAUCACAGUUUCUUUAAGCACAAAACACAUUUCCUCUCUAUAUAACUUCUCUUGAACAAAGGAAGAAACAACCAGAGUCUGCAGCAUUUCAGAAGGAGUAUCUGCGUUUUCUUCCUGCCAAAGCUAGCAAAAUAUUAGUUAGAAUCACAGAAAAUAAAGAUAAUUCAAAGUACUUAUUUGAUC